rnacentral:rRNA from 1 species
GAUGAACGCUGGCGGCGUGCCUAAUACAUGCAAGUCGAGCGAACAGACGAGGAGCUUGCUCCUCUGACGUUAGCGGCGGACGGGUGAGUAACACGAGGAUAACCUACCUAUAAGACUGGGAUAACUUCGGGAAACCGGAGCUAAUACCGGAUAACAUGUUGAACCGCAUGGUUCAACAGUGAAAGACGGUCUUGCUGUCACUUAUAGAUGGAUCCGCGCCGCAUUAGCUAGUUGGUAAGGUAACGGCUUACCAAGGCAACGAUGCGUAGCCGACCUGAGAGGGUGAUCGGCCACACUGGAACUGAGACACGGUCCAGACUCCUACGGGAGGCAGCAGUAGGGAAUCUUCCGCAAUGGGCGAAAGCCUGACGGAGCAACGCCGCGUGAGUGAAGAAGGUCUUCGGAUCGUAAAACUCUGUUAUUAGGGAAGAACAAAUGUGUAAGUAACUAUGCACGUCUUGACGGUACCUAAUCAGAAAGCCACGGCUAACUACGUG